rnacentral:lncRNA from 1 species
GUCUCUAUGAAGUAAUGCACAGUGCAAUUGAAGAGGCACGUUAUGUCAGGCAAGAAAGAAGCUGAAGAGCUAUACUGCCUCGAGAAAGAAAGCCUAUCUACUGUGAAUUACUCUGCUGUUAUUCACCUUCUCCUGGAACCCCUCAGAAUGGCACAGGCACUGUGGAGCAGGAGGACUGAGAGAAUGCUGUCCUCGAAGCUCUCUAUGAACUGUCUGAAAAGGCUUUCUGAUGGGAUCACAAAAAGCUCAAGGGGAAAAAAGGUCAACAGAAACAAGUAUAAAUUUCAGCAAAGACAAAGUCUGCAUCAUCUUUUACAUUUCAAGAUCCCUAUCUGCUCAGAAACUCAAUUGCUCAACUUCUAGUUUGCAUGUCUUUGACAAUCUUCGUUGAAAUCAUAUGCAAAUACUACAUCUAUUACAGUUAGGG